CUAAGGAUGGUUCUUCAGAAGCUUGCUUCUAUCGAACCGUUUUAGAAACAUCAGUGGCCAACGAUCGUCAGGAUCGUUGAGCUGCAUUGGCGGGAUUUCGCCGUCUUCGUUUCUCUUUCUUCGCGGACGAACACGCGCUGGGCCUGCGAGAGCAGGGUCCCUGGUCCUUGACGGGAUAUGCGUUAGGGGCUUGUAGCUCAGUUGGUUAGAGCGCGCGCUUGAUAAGCGUGAGGUCGGAAGUUCAAGUCUUCCCAGGCCCACCACACUCAUCGGGUAAGCAUUCGUCUUCUGGUUACGGGGCCAUAGCUCAGCUGGGAGAGCGCGUGCUUUGCAAGCAUGAGGUCGUCGGUUCGAUCCCGUCUGGCUCCACCAGAUGGUUUGAUCACCGACGCUGUGUUUGCAGCUAUUCAACCGUCGUCCGCGAAACAUCACUUCGCACCUACUAGUCUGGAUAGACAGUAGGUUGCGUGAUUUCUGACAUCGUAAAGAGGAGAUCGAUCCGAGUUGGAUCGGGCAGCAAGCAAUUGCUGCGCGAACCUUCAUUAUCUCCGGAUCAUUUCGGCGCUCGCGCGCCUUUCAAUGCGGCUCACAAGGCUGCGUCUGAGGGGAAUGCGGGUUGUAAAUGAUCCUUUUAGCGAAGCUUGACCGCCUCGCUAUCGGAACGAUCUUACGAAGCAAGCUGGUCUUUCUAAUCAUUGUCCGGCUGUACGUAGCGUUCAUCGAGGGCGCGUGCCGCAAGGCAAUCGUACAGACAACAUUCUGCCGAGUGUGUGGACAUUGAUAAUGAGAGC
rnacentral:tRNA from 2 species